AGAGUUUGAUCCUGGCUCAGAACGAACGCUGGCGGCAGGCUUAACACAUGCAAGUCGAACGCGUGCAGCAAUGCACGAGUGGCGCACGGGUGAGUAACGCGUGGAUAUCUGCCUUUUGGUUCGGAAUAACCCCGGGAAACUGGGGCUAAUACCGGAUGGUUCCUGCGGGAUAAAGAUUUAUCGCCAAAAGAUGAGUCCGCGUACGAUUAGCUAGUUGGUGAGGUAAUGGCUCACCAAGGCGACGAUCGUUAGCUGGUCUGAGAGGACGAUCAGCCACACUGGGACUGAGACACGGCCCAGACUCCUACGGGAGGCAGCAGUGGGGAAUAUUGGACAAUGGGGGCAACCCUGAUCCAGCCAUGCCGCGUGAGUGAUGAAGGCCUUCGGGUUGUAAAGCUCUUUUGGCGGGGACGAUGAUGACGGUACCCGCAGAAUAAGCCCCGGCUAACUUCGUGCCAGCAGCCGCGGUAAU
rnacentral:rRNA from 1 species